rnacentral:tRNA from 1 species
GGGGCAUUAGUUCAGCGGGAGAAUGUCACACUGGCAGUGUGAAGGUCAGGGGUUCAAAUCCCCUAUGCUCCACCA